GUCUGCAGCCAUCCCACCUCAAACACCCUCGAUCUCAUCUGAUCUUGGAAGCUAAGCAGGGUUGGGCUUGGUUAGUACUUGCAAGGGAGAAAAUAGUACUACUGUUGCUGUUC
rnacentral:rRNA from 1 species